AGGAUAUUAGAAAUGGCUACUCCCCAGUCAAUUUUCAUCUUCGCAAUCUGCAUUUUAAUGAUAACAGAAUUAAUUCUGGCCUCAAAAAGCUACUAUGAUAUCUUAGGUGUGCCAAAAUCGGCAUCAGAGCGCCAAAUCAAGAAGGCCUUUCACAAGUUGGCCAUGAAGUACCACCCUGACAAAAAUAAGAGCCCGGAUGCUGAAGCAAAAUUCAGAGAGAUUGCAGAAGGAGCAAGUGUUCCUGCUGCCAGUUCUUUCCUCUUUAGGCGUGAUUGAGAAAAAGCAGAAACUUUACAUAAAGCUGUAUUUCUUAAUCAUCUUUAAUUUGAAACUUAAGAAAAUG
rnacentral:sRNA from 1 species